UACGUAGGGGGCAAGCGUUGUCCGGAUUUAUUGGGCGUAAAGAGCGUGUAGGCGGUUUUACAAGUCCGCUGUGAAAACUCGAGGCUCAACCUCGAGCUGUCGGUGGAAACUGUAAGGCUAGAGUCCGGAAGAGGAGAGUGGAAUUCCCGGUGUAGCGGUGAAAUGCGCAGAUAUCGGGAAGAACACCCGUGGCGAAGGCGGCUCUCUGGGACGGUACUGACGCUGAGACGCGAAAGCGUGGGGAGCAAACAGG
rnacentral:rRNA from 1 species